UAUUUUUAGCUUAUUAUUAUAAAUAUCAACGCCGUUAUUAAUAGUGGAAAUUGGACCAAUUUCCUUUUUUAAUUACGGCCAAUUUAAUUGGUAAACAAUCCACGUUGACCAAGGGUAAGGCUAUUCAAAAUUCAUCGGCGUUUCUGUUCGUUGUUUGAUUAACCAGAGGGAACAUUGACAUUGAGGCAAUAUACACUACUGCGCCUACUUUUUUCGCUGAGCUGUGUUAGUCUUUUUUUUUAUUUUUUUUUUUUCGAAAUUUUGAAAGACACAUAUCUGGAAUCUGAAUUCUGAUCAUCACAAUAUUUCAUCACAUAUCUGAAGUAUUUUUGUUUGGCAACGUCUUAUGGUCUUUAUGGAUCGCAUGUUCGGAUUGUUCGCAUCAUUUGUCAUUUCGUCUGUGGCGUGGUCUGGUCUGAUCUGUUCGUUCGUUCGUUCGUUCGUUCGUAUUGUUUCUCAAUUGGUAAGAGUGAGUGUGAGUGUGAGUGUCUGAGUGAUCCACGCUGCGUUGAACAAUAGAAGGCAAUUAAUCAUUUUCAAAAUAACAAUUAUUUAAAGGUUCUAUGUAGUAGGAAAGUUUGUAUCUGGUUCAAACAUGGACACGUUAAAUUCCAAAAGUUGUUAUGAAACUAGGAAGAGCUUGUGGGCUGGGCAGCCUGGGCUACAGGUGUAAAAAGAAAUCGGAAUAAUGGUAUUGAAAAAAUUUGCAAUCAGCACCAUGAUUCAAGAAAAUUGAUCGAAACAUCAUCCAAACUGAUCGAAGUUUUAACUUGACAGUGUUAGGGAAUAAGUUCAUCUUUAUUGAAAGUCAAAUCAAGCUUUCGUAAAGUGCAGCUCAUGGAAAGGGUGUGUUGACUCCACUCCUCCACACAAUUCUGUAAAACCAGAAAAGGAAGAUGUCAUUCUCAUGCAGUGGAAAUAGUUGAAGAAAAGUUGUCACAAGAUCAAAUGGACACAGAACUUGACACUUAUAACUUCAAGCUACACUUGCACUUAGUUUCAAGUUUGAAAAGGGUUUGAAUGCAGAAAACUCAAAACAUUUGAAAAAGAGCUGAAUCACGGAAAUUCAAUGGGUCAAUACUUGGAGUUCUCAUUCCAUGGUGCCUACCGCAACUUAUAGAUCUCGCUCUACGAACUACGAUGCAACGAUGGUGGAAGAAAAUGUCGACGAUGUAGUUUGGCGUUGAUAAAGUUGCCUUCAUCCCCUGGCUGGUGAAGAAGAAGAGAUCCAGGUAUUUUAUUUAAUGGCAUCGCUUUUACGUGACACGAGUCUUCACAAACUGCUGGAUUCGAAGAAGGCAAACUACGCAAGCGGACAUCAGGCAAGUGGCAAUUUUGAAAACACAUCUGGACUCAAAAGCCUGCUGAAAAAUGAAACUUUGUUCUGGGCCUACGUCAGAAGAGUCUUUGCAGAUCGACCAACUAGAACAACUAGAACUAUCCCCCCCCCCCCCCCCCCCCAAAAAAAAAAAAAAACUGGCCGACUUUGAUUAGUCUCUAUACGCUCACGUGUCCGCUGAAGAAGUCGAAAGUUUUAUCUGUGAUCACGUUCGGCAGGUAGUGUAUUGCAGAAGAUUUUGCACUUGACUUCAUCCCCGAAUUUGUUUUCAUAGAUGACUUGGAAUCGGGGAAUUCUCUGGUGGUCCUUGAGCGAAAACCGAUAGUUUGGCAGCCAUCGUCUCUUCCGCCCCAAUUACAGGAACUCAUCCUUGCCGAUCUGUUUGAAUUACAUCAGAAAAACAGAUGUUUGGCCCAUGCUCGGUCUGUUCUCAUUUCUUCCACUACACGUCUUCCCUCGUAAUACCAAGCCACUUACCUGUAAUCAUCAGCAAAGUUGCGAAAUUGUUCGCAUUCAUGUUCAGAUUUCCUAAACUGAAAUUAAAAACAAAACAUUAUAGUCAGGCUAAACUGCUGUUGAACAGUUGUCUGUUGUUACCUGUACUUCUCAUCCCAUGUAGAAACACGUCACAGCAGUAUAACUGGCUGGUUAAAGGUGUGGUCAAGUCAAGUUGAGCUGCUGCAUGCAGUCUAUAGAGCUGAUGUUAUGAAGUGUGGAAGGGUAACCAAACUGAAAGAUGUUCUUGGAAUGGACCCAUGGCAAGGUGAUAUUUCAACUUUACGAUGGUGCUCAAUAUGCAGUAGUUUUGUACCUAUUUCCAGUUCAAGCUGUUGGAUGCCUUCUGUAGUCCUGGUGUUAUCCUGGAAUGUGUUGAUUGUCAAUGCCUUUGUUUCUUGUACUGUGUUAUGCCUCUGUGAAGUACCUUGAUGAUUGGACCCAGUUGAAGAAGUUAAUGAUGUAGAUCUAGACAAGUGCAUAAUCUGGGCUCUCUUCUUUUCUGUGGCCCCGUUUCCCUAACUAACCACUAACCAAUGCCCGCCGGUGGUCACUCACCCGCUGUGAUAACCAGGAGGAUGAGGAGGGCUCUGGUCGAACGGGGACUUG